UCAAACUUGGUCAUUUAGAGGAAGUAAAAGUCGUAACAAGGUUUCCGUAGGUGAACCUGCGGAAGGAUCAUUACCGAGUGGAACGCCGCCGGGCCCCAGGGCCCCGCGGCGCUGCCUCACCACCCGUGUCUACCUCACCGAUUCUUCGGCGGGCCGGCCUAGCGGCCGCCGGGGGGCUUCCCCCCUGGACAGCGCCCGCCGAAGACCCCCGAACGCUUGCCUGAAGGUUUGCCGUCUGAGCGUUAAACAAACUUAACAAAACUUUCAACAACGGAUCUCUUGGUUCCGGCAUCGAUGAAGAACGCAGC
rnacentral:misc_RNA from 1 species